rnacentral:rRNA from 1 species
GAUGAACGCUGGCGGCGUGCCUAAUACAUGCCAGUCGAGCGAACGGACGAGAAGCUUGCUUCUCUGAUGUUAGCGGCGGACGGGUGAGUAACACGUGGAUAACCUACCUAUAAGACUGGGAUAACUUCGGGAAACCGGAGCUAAUACCGGAUGAUAUUUUGAACCGCAUGGUUCAAAAGUGAAAGACGGUCUUGCUGUCACUUAUAGAUGGAUCCGCGCUGCAUUAGCUAGUUGGUAAGGUAACGGCUUACCAAGGCAACGAUGCAUAGCCGACCUGAGAGGGUGAUCGGCCACACUGGAACUGAGACACGGUCCAGACUCCCACGGGAGGCAGCAGUAGGGAAUCUUCCGCAAUGGGCGAAAGCCUGACGGAGCAACGCCGCGUGAGUGAUGAAGGUCUUCGGAUCGUAAAACUCUGUUAUUAGGGAAGAACAUAUGUGUAAGUAACUGUGCACAUCUUGACGGUACCUAAUCAGAAAGCCACGGCUAACUACGUG